rnacentral:rRNA from 1 species
AUUGAACGCUGGCGGCAGGCCUAACACAUGCAAGUCGAGCGGAUGAAGGGAGCUUGCUCCUGGAUUCAGCGGCGGACGGGUGAGUAAUGCCUAGGAAUCUGCCUGGUAGUGGGGGAUAACGUCCGGAAACGGGCGCUAAUACCGCAUACGUCCUGAGGGAGAAAGUGGGGGAUCUUCGGACCUCACGCUAUCAGAUGAGCCUAGGUCGGAUUAGCUAGUUGGUGGGGUAAAGGCCUACCAAGGCGACGAUCCGUAACUGGUCUGAGAGGAUGAUCAGUCACACUGGAACUGAGACACGGUCCAGACUCCUACGGGAGGCAGCAGUGGGGAAUAUUGGACAAUGGGCGAAAGCCUGAUCCAGCCAUGCCGCGUGUGUGAAGAAGGUCUUCGGAUUGUAAAGCACUUUAAGUUGGGAGGAAGGGCAGUAAGUCAAUACCUUGCUGUUUUGACGUUACCAACAGAAUAAGCACCGGCUAAUUUCGUG